AUUACCACCUUUCGGGACUGCUUGGUGAUGACGCUCAAUCCCUGAUC
rnacentral:snoRNA from 1 species